UGGGGAAUAUUGGGCAAUGGGCGCAAGCCUGACCCAGCCAUGCCGCGUGAGUGAUGAAGGCCUUCGGGUCGUAAAGCUCUGUGGGGAGGGAAGAAACCGCCUGUGGCUAACAUCCACGGGUCUUGACGGUACCUCCUUAGCAAGCACCGGCUAACUCCGUGCCAGCAGCCGCGGUAAUACGGAGGGUGCAAACGUUGCUCGGAAUCAUUGGGCGUAAAGCGCACGUAGGCGGCCUGAUAAGUCGGGUGUGAAAGCCCUGGGCUCAACCCAGGAAGUGCACUCGAAACUGCCAGGCUUGAAUAUGGAAGAGGGUCGCGGAAUUCCCGGUGUAGAGGUGAAAUUCGUAGAUAUCGGGAGGAACACCAGUGGCGAAGGCGGCGACCUGGGCCAAUAUUGACGCUGAGGUGCGAAAGCGUGGGGAGCAAACAGGAUUAGAUACCCCCGUAGUCC
rnacentral:rRNA from 1 species